rnacentral:rRNA from 1 species
UCAGCUUUUUGGGUAAGAUUGAGCGUUUGAUCCUGGCUCAGGACGAACGCUGGCGGCGUGCUUAACACAUGCAAGUCGAGCGAUGAAAUCCCUUCGGGGAUGGAUUAGCGGCGGACGGGUGAGUAACACGUGGGCAACCUGCCUCAAAGUGGGGGAUAGCCUUCCGAAAGGAAGAUUAAUACCGCAUAACAUUAGUUUUUCACAUGAAUUACUAAUUAAAGGAGUAAUCCGCUUUGAGAUGGGCCCGCGGCGCAUUAGCUAGUUGGUGAGGUAACGGCUCACCAAGGCCACGAUGCGUAGCCGACCUGAGAGGGUGAUCGGCCACAUUGGAACUGAGACACGG